UUAAACGUCAACUCAAUCUACCUGGUUUACUUCAGAUUCUAAGUUUAUUAUUUUUUCUUUUUCUUUCUGUAUCCCCGUUUACUGUACCUAACAUGAAAACCUUAAUAAAAAAAAAAAAAUUGAAUCUGAAGUAAACCAGGUAGAUUGAGUUGACGUUUAA